rnacentral:lncRNA from 1 species
CCAUUGCAAUGCGAUGAAUAGAAAGAAAGCUGAUAGAUUGUUUUGUGGUGGCUUGCUUGUUUCAAAUGCAUAUUUAUACUUGUGAUUUUAAGAAGUUUAAAUUGUUUGUUUAGCAUUUUAUGCAUACUUCAAAGCGUUCGGUGACUUGACUCUCAGGCUAAGAUUUUGAGGAGCUGUCAUUGUUUAUAUUGAAAAACAC